UUGGAGGAUAUAGUGGAGGAAUUUUAGAAAAUAAGGCAAGAAAGAAGUGUGGAUGAAUACCAAGAUAAAUUUGAAGACUUAAGGGUGAGAAUGGAGCAGGUAAUGCCUGAUUUGGGGGAAUCUUAUUUUUCUUUCUGGAUUUAUUGGGGGAUUAAGGGAUGAUAUAAGGUUGAUGGUGAGGAUGCUUAAACCAGUGACAUUAGCUAAUGCUUUUGAAGAAGCUAAGUUGCAAGAACAAUUGCUAGAAGUCCAAAGAAACACUACACCAUCAUUCAGAACCUAUAACAGUACCCAAAGACCUUCUCAAUUCAGUUCUUGUUCUUCUGCUACCACCAAACCAUCUCAAUACAAUUCCAGUUAUCCAUAUGCUCCUAAGCCACCAAUAAUUAAUUCCAGUAUUAGCCACAAAUCUAAUUCUGUGGGAGUUAAACCUACUCAGUCUAUGAGUGCUUCUUCUGUUAACCAAACCACCAUACAACCUAAUAGCCAACAAUUAACUAAUGAUAAAAGGCCUCUUAAGCCCUGUUUUAGGUGCGGAGAAAAAUAUUUUCCAGGUCAUCAAUGUAAGCAGAAGACUUUGAUGGCUUUGCAUGAUGAGGGAGAAGGAGAUCAAGGGGAGGAAGUUUGGCAUGAGGAUUGUGAAGGUUAUGAUGGGUUGGAUCAUGGAAUUCAAGAGGAAUUCGCACUGUCUGUGAAUGCAGUGGAGGGUUCUCAAGGGGUGGAUACAAUCAAGGUAUUGGGGUAUUGUGGGAAUAGACAAUUAGUCAUUCUUAUUGAUAGUGGAAGUACUAGUAGUUUUAUUGAAGCUAAAGUAGCAAUAGAACUGAAGCUGCCUUGUGUGCCAAUUACAACAACAGCAAUUACAGUAGCAGAUGGGAGAAAAAUUAUGAGUUCUUCUAUUUGUAAUAAUUUCACUUGGAAGAUACACAACUACAAGUUUUCUUUUACUUUUAGAACUCUGGAAUUGGGCAGUUUUGACAUGAUACUAGGGGUUGAUUGGAUGAGAAGUUUCAACCCUAUCGUGUUUGACUUUGAAGCUAGAUUGGUGAGAUUUCAAAAGGAUGGGAAAAGUGUAGAAUUGCAAGGGGUUAGUGAUGCAACAACUCCAAUGAAGCUGUUACCUUGUAGUAGUUACCACAAGCUAUUGCAGAAGCAGGGGUCAGACUUCCAAACUCCUUUAUUCAGUAUUCAGUUUUCUGAACAGCAAUAGGUAAAUUCUGAAUCUUCUGGAUGUUUUUCUUCAUCCACUUAUCCACCUGGAAUUCAAUCUCUAUUGGAUAAGUAUUCCUUCUUAUUUGUGGAGCCAAAGUCACUUCCACCAUUUCGAUCUCAUAAUCAUUCCAUCCCUCUAUUACCUACUGCACAACCUAUCAAUGUCAGGCCCUAUAGAUAUCCUCAUUUCCAGAAAACU
rnacentral:misc_RNA from 1 species